rnacentral:tRNA from 1 species
GGAGAGUUGCCGGAGUGGUUAACGGGAUAGUUUGCUAAACUAUUUACGGGUAGCCGUAACGUGGGUUCGGUUCCCACACUCUCCG